GGCAGCAAUAAACUCAACAGGAGCAGGAAAGCGAGGGUAUCCUACAAAGUCCAGCGUACCAUAAACGCAAGCCUCAACGCAGCGACGAGCACGAGAGCGGUCAGUAGCAAUCCAAACUUUGUUACUCGUCAGAAAAUCGAAAUCAUCUUCGGUUAAAUCCAAAACGGCAGAAGCCUGAAUGAGCUUAAUAGAGGCCAAAGCGGUCUGGAAACGUACGGAUUGUUCAGUAACUUGA
rnacentral:rRNA from 1 species